rnacentral:rRNA from 1 species
GAUGAACGCUGGCGGCGUGCCUAAUACAUGCAAGUCGAGCGAAUGGAUUAAGAGCUUGCUCUUAUGAAGUUAGCAGCGGACGGGUGAGUAACACGUGGGUAACCUGCCCAUAAGACUGGGAUAACUCCGGGAAACCGGGGCUAAUACCGGAUAACAUUUUGAACCGCAUGGUUCGAAAUUGAAUGGCGGCUUCGGCUGUCACUUAUUGAUGGACCCGCGUCGCAUUAGCUAGUUGGUGAGGUAACGGCUCACCAAGGCAACGAUGCGUAGCCGACCUGAGAGGGUGAUCGGCCACACUGGGACUGAGACACGGCCCAGACUCCUACGGGAGGCAGCAGUAGGGAAUCUUCCGCAAUGGACGAAAGUCUGACGGAGCAACGCCGCGUGAGUGAUGAAGGCUUUCGGGUCGUAAAACUCUGUUGUUAGGGAAGAACAAGUGCUAGUUGAAUAAGCUGGCACCUUGACGGUACCUAACCAGAAAGCCACGGCUAACUACGUGCCAGCAGCCGCAGUAA